rnacentral:rRNA from 1 species
GUCUAUGGCCAUGCCACCCUGAACAAGCCCGAUGUCUGAUCUUGGAAGCUAAGCAGGGCCAGCCCUGGUUAGUACAUGAAUAGGAGACCAAGUAGGAAGACCAGGUGCUGUAGGCA